AUUAGUGGCGAACGGGCGAGUAAUACGUGAGUAACCUACCUUUAACUCUGGGAUAAGCCUGGGAAACUGGGUCUAAUACCGGAUACGACCAAUCUCCGCAUGGGGCGUUGGUGGAAAGCGUUAUGUAGUGGUUAUAGAUGGGCUCACGGCCUAUCAGCUUGUUGGUGAGGUAACGGCUCACCAAGGCGACGACGGGUAGCCGGCCUGAGAGGGUGACCGGCCACACUGGGACUGAGACACGGUCCAG
rnacentral:rRNA from 1 species